AUGGACGAAAGUCUGAUGGAGCAACGCCGCGUGAGCGAUGAAGGCCUUCGGGUCGUAAAGCUCUGUUGUUAGGGAAGAACAAGUACCGGAGUAACUGCCGGUACCUUGACGGUACCUAACCAGAAAGCCACGGCUAACUACGUGCCAGCAGCCGCGGUAAUACGUAGGUGGCAAGCGUUGUCCGGAAUUAUUGGGCGUAAAGCGCGCGCAGGCGGUCCUUUAAGUCUGAUGUGAAAGCCCACGGCUCAACCGUGGAGGGUCAUUGGAAACUGGGGGACUUGAGUGCAGAAGAGGAAAGCGGAAUUCCACGUGUAGCGGUGAAAUGCGUAGAGAUGUGGAGGAACACCAGUGGCGAAGGCGGCUUUCUGGUCUGUAACUGACGCUGAGGCGCGAAAGCGUGGGGAGCAAACAGGAUUAGAUACCCUGGUAGUCCACGCCGUAAACGAUGAGUGCUAAGUGUUAGGGGGUUUCCGCCCCUUAGUGCUGCAGCUAACGCAUUAAGCACUCCGCCUGGGGA
rnacentral:rRNA from 1 species